AGCGAACGCUGGCGGCAGGCCUAAAACAUGCAAGUCGAACGCCGUAGCAAUACGGAGUGGCAGACGGGUGAGUAACACGUGGGAACGUGCCCUUUGGUUCGGAACAACACAGGGAAACUUGUGCUAAUACCGGAUAAGCCCUUACGGGGAAGAUUUAUCGCCAGAGGAUCGGCCCGCGUCUGAUUAGCUAGUUGGUGAGGUAACGGCUCACCAAGGCUACGAUCAGUAGCGGUCUGAGAGGAUGAUCAGCCACACUGGGACUGAGACACGGCCCAGACUCCUACGGGAGGCAGCAGUUAGGAAUCUUGGACAAUGGGCGCAAGCCUGAUCCAGCCAUGCCGCGUGAGUGAUGAAGGCCUUAGGGUUGUAAAGCUCUUUCAGCGGGGAAGAUAAUGACGGUACCCGCAGAAGAAGCCCCGGCUAACUUCGUGCCAGCCGCCGCUGUAAU
rnacentral:rRNA from 1 species